GAUGAACGCUGGCGGCGUGCCUAAUACAUGCAAGUCGAGCGAACAGACGAGGAGCUUGCUCCUCUGACGUUAGCGGCGGACGGGUGAGUAACACGUGGAUACCCUACCUAUAAGACUGGGAUAACUUCGGGAAACCGGAGCUAAUACCGGAUAAUAUAUUGAACCGCAUGGUUCAAUAGUGAAAGACGGUUUUGCUGUCACUUAUCGAUGGUUCCGCGCCGCAUUAGCUAGUUGGUAAGGUAACGGCUUACCAAGGCAACGAUGCGUAGCCGACCUGAGAGGGGGAUCGGCCACACUGGAACUGGACCGCGGACCAGACUCCUACGGGAGGCACCAGAAGGGAAUCUGCCGCAAUAGGCGAAAGCUUGGCGGAGCAGCGCCGCGUGAGUGGUGAAGGUCUUCGGAUCGUGAAACUCUGUUAUUAGUGAAGAACAAAUGUGUAAGUAACUAUGCACGUCGUGACGGUACCGAAUCAGAAAGCCACGGCUAACUACGUG
rnacentral:rRNA from 1 species